CCUACGGGUGACAGCAGUGGGGAAUAUUGCACAAUGGGGGAAACCCUGAUGCAGCGACGCCGCGUGAGUGAAGAAGUAAUUCGUUACGUAAAGCUCUAUCAGCAGGGAAGAAAUACUGACCUUACGGUCAGCAGACGGUACCUGAGUAAGAAGCCCCGGCUAACUACGUGCCAGCAGCCGCGGUAAUACGUAGGGGGUAAGCGUUAUCCGGAUUUACUGGGUGUAAAGGGAGCGUAGACGGUUAUGCAAGUCUGAAGUGAAAGCCCAAGGCUCAACCAUGGGACUGCUUUGGAAACUGUAAAACUGGAGUGCAGGAGAGGUAAGCGGAAUUCCUAGUGUAGCGGUGAAAUGCGUAGAUAUUAGGAGGAACACCAGUGGCGAAGGCGGCUUACUGGACUGUAACUGACGUUGAGGCUCGAAGGCGUGGGGAGCAAACAGGAUUAGAUACCCGAGUAGUC
rnacentral:rRNA from 1 species